rnacentral:rRNA from 1 species
GGGCCCGCACAAGCGGAGGAGCAUGUGGUUUAAUUCGAUGAUACGCGAGGAACCUUACCAAGGCUUAAAUGUAAUAUGACCGGUUGAGAGAUCAACCUUUUUUCGAACAGAUUACAAGGUGCUGCAUGGUUGUCGUCAGCUCGUGCCGUGAGGUGUCGGGUUAAGUCCCAUAACGAGCGCAACCCCUAUUUUUAGUUACCAGCGAGUAAUGUCGGGAACUCUAGAAAAACUGCCUGUGCAAACAGAGAGGAAGGUGGGGAUGACGUCAAAUCAUGACGGCCCUUAUGUCUUGGGCUACACACGUGCUACAAUGGUAUCUACAACAGGAAGCAAGACUGCGAAGUUAAGCAAA